CAAUAGCGCAUAUUUAAGUUGUUGCAGUUAAAAAGCUCGUAGUUGGAUUUCGGUUAAGAGCGACCGGUCCGCCGUUUGGUGUGCACUGGUUGGUUUUAACUUCCUGUAGAGGACGUGCUCUGGGUUUAACGACCUGGACUCGGAGUCUACGUGGUUACUUUGAAAAAAUUAGAGUGUUCAAAGCGGGCUUACGCUUGAAUAUUUCAGCAUGGAAUAACACUAUAGGACUCCUGUCCUAUUUCGUUGGUCUCGGGACGGGAGUAAUGAUUAAGAGGAACAGUUGGGGGCAUUCGUAUUUCAUUGUCAGAGGUGAAAUUCUUGGAUUUAUGAAAGACGAACUUCUGCGAAAGCAUUUGCCAAGGAUGUUUUCAUUAA
rnacentral:rRNA from 1 species